GCGAUGGGGGGACGGAUCGCGGAAGGUUGUCUGACUGUUGGAAUAGUCAGUUUCUGGUUCAUAGAAGGUGCUUAGGCAAAUCCGGGCACGUAAUUCAAGGGACUGGGACGAAGAACUUAGGUUCUGUAGCAAUCGGAAGUGGUUCCAAGAAAAGCCUCUAAGCUUCAGUCAUACGAGACCGUACCGCAAACCGACACAGGUGGGCGAGAUGAGUAUUCUAAGGCGCUUGAGAGAACUCGGGAGAAGGAACUCGGCAAAUUUGAACCGUAACUUCGGGAUAAGGUUCGCCUACGCAAGUAGGCCGCAGUGAAGAGGGGGUUGCGACUGUUUAUCAAAAACACAGCACUCUGCAAACACGAAAGUGGACGUAUAGGGU
rnacentral:rRNA from 1 species